rnacentral:rRNA from 1 species
UACGUAGGGCGCAAGCGUUGUCCGGAAUUAUUGGGCGUAAAGAGCUCGUAGGCGGUCUGUCGCGUCUGUUGUGAAAACUCGAGGCUCAACCUCGGGCUUGCAGUGGAUACGGGCAGACUAGAGUGCGGUAGGGGAGACUGGAAUUCCUGGUGUAGCGGUGAAAUGCGCAGAUAUCAGGAGGAACACCGGUGGCGAAGGCGGGUCUCUGGGCCGUAACUGACGCUGAGGAGCGAAAGCAUGGGGAGCGAACAGG